rnacentral:rRNA from 1 species
UACAGAGGUCUCAAGCGUUGUUCGGAUUCAUUGGGCGUAAAGGGCGCGUAGGCUGCGGGGCAAGUCGGGUGUGAAAUCUCAGAGCUCAACUCUGAAACUGCACUCGAUACUGGCGUGCUUGAGGACUGGAGAGGAGACUGGAAUUCAUGGUGUAGCAGUGAAAUGCGUAGAGAUCAUGAGGAAGACCAGUGGCGAAGGCGGGUCUCUGGACAGUUCCUGACACUGAGACACGAAGGCCAGGGGAGCAAACGGG